UGUGAGAGUGAGAGAGAUUGGAAAAUGGGUGGGGGACAGUCUAAGCAUUCCAUCUCAUCCCCUAAGGGUACCCCAGCAUAUUACAUGUACGUACAUUAUGGUCCUAAAACCUGCAGGUAUUUAGACAAUUGGAAUCUUUACACGCAUGAAAAUCCAUCUAAACAAUGCCCA